AUUGAACGCUGGCGGCAGGCCUAACACAUGCAAGUCGAACGGUAACAGGAAGCAGCUUGCUGCUUCGCUGACGAGUGGCGGACGGGUGAGUAAUGUCUGGGAAACUGCCUGAUGGAGGGGGAUAACUACUGGAAACGGUAGCUAAUACCGCAUAACGUCGCAAGACCAAGAGGGGGACCUUAGGGCCUCUUGCCAUCGGAUUUGCCCAGAUGGGAUUAGCUAGUAGGUGGGGUAACGGCUCACCUUGGCGACGAUCCCUAGCUGGUCUGAGAGGAUGACCAGCCACACUGGAACUGAGACACGGUCCAGACUCCUACGGGAGGCAGCAGUGGGGAAUAUUGCACAAUGGGCGAAAGCCUGAUGCAGCCAUGCCGCGUGUAUGAAGAAGGCCUUCGGGUUGUAAAGUACUUUCAGCGGGGAGGAAGGGAGUAAAGUUAAUACCUUUGCUCAUUGACGUUACCCGCAGAAGAAGCACCGGCUAACUCCGUG
rnacentral:rRNA from 1 species